UAACCUGCCCAAGAGAUCGGGAUAACACCUGGAAACAGAUGCUAAUACCGGAUAACAACAGAUGAUGCCUAUCAACUGUUUAAAAGAUGGUUCUGCUAUCACUCUUGGAUGGACCUGCGGUGCAUUAGCUAGUUGGUAGGGUAACGGCCUACCAAGGCGAUGAUGCAUAGCCGAGUUGAGAGACUGAUCGGCCGACAUUUGGGACGUGAGACGACGGCCCAAACUCCUACGGGAGGCAGCAGUU
rnacentral:rRNA from 1 species